GGAGACAGAUAGACAGUUCUGAGAAAAAGCUGGUCAGGAAGAUUCAGGGUAUCUGGGAACUCUGGAUUUGAAUGAGAGACCCUGUCUAUGAGUAAAAUAAGGCAGAAGAGCUAUAGAGAAUAAUACUUGACACUGAACUCAGGCCUACCUCACAUAUGUACACAUGCACACAUACAUUGGGAAAGAAGUUCAGCUCUGGACUUCCAGGAAUACCUAACCUGGACAGAAUAGUCAUCCGGAAUGCCUCCUCCACAGUGGCCGAGAGGGAGAAAUCCAGCCCAGCCCAGGUCAUGGUCACAGCCAUGAGCAACCAUCCUCAGCCAAGCCAGAAAGAUGCAGCUGAGGCCCCAGGAGACCUGCAGUUGCAGUCCAGCUCUGGGGUCCCAGGGUCACCCGUGUCAGCACCCACAGAAGGCAUCGGAGGAAGAAGAAUUCAAAUAGCCUGAGGACCAGUGGGGGCGGGGAGACGAUGCCCACACCCUCCUGGCAGUUCUGCCUGCUCUCUCUCCUAAUUCAUCUAUCACGAUAUGGCUGGAUUCCAUCCAUCCUACCAACUUCCUGCUCAGGAACUGGCCAUGACUUUUCCACAUCUCAACUGAAUUGCACUUCUGGGCUCAGUGUAAACGUCCUCUGUGGCUUUGCAAGCUGGACAUCAUCACGUCCUCCUCCCAUGGUUCUCUAACCCAAGCCAUCCCCAUGUCCAGCUACUCUCCCCACAGAUAUCCUGCCAAGUCCUUCCACAUCAUUGCUCAUGAACUUUAAAAAAAAAAAAACCAAUAAAAAAACAA
rnacentral:lncRNA from 1 species